UCGAGAGGGUUCGGCCCUCGGCGGACUGCUCAGUAACACGUGGAUAACCUGCCCUAAGGUGGAGGAUAACCCCGGGAAACUGGGGAUAAUACUCCAUAGGAUACAACUGCUGGAAUGCUCUGUAUCCGAAAGCUCCGGCGCCUUAGGAUGGAUCUGCGGCCGAUUAGGUUGUUGUUGGGGUAACGGCCCAACAAGCCCGUAAUCGGUACGGGUUGUGGGAGCAAGAGCCCGGAGAUGGACUCUGAGACACGAGUCCAGGCCCUACGGGGCGCAGCAGGCGCGAAAACUUUACAAUGCGGGAAACCGUGAUAAGGGAACCCCGAGUGCCCGUAAUCGCGGGCUGUCCGGGUGUGUAAAAAGCACCCGAAGAAAGGGCCGGGCAAGACCGGUGCCAGCCGCCGCGGUAAUACCGGCGGCUCGAGUGGUGACCACUUUUAUUGGGCUUAAAGCGUCCGUAGCUGGAUUGUUAAGUCUCUUGGGAAAUCUCACGGCUUAACCGUGAGGCGUCUAAGAGAUACUGGCAAUCUUGGGACCGGAAGAGGUGAGAGGUACUCCGGGGGUAGGAGUGAAAUCCUGUAAUCCUCGGGGGACCACCUGUGGCGAAGGCGUCUCACCAGGACGGCUCCGACAGUGAGGGACGAAAGCUGGGGGAGCAAACCGGAUUAGAUACCCGGGUAGUCCCAGCCGUAAACGAUGCGCGUUAGGUGUAUCGGCGACCACGAGUCGCUGAGGUGCCGAAGGGAAACCGUGAAACGUGCCGCCUGGGAAGUACGGUCGCAAGGCUGAAACUUAAAGGAAUUGGCGGGGAGCACCACAACGGGUGAG
rnacentral:rRNA from 1 species